UGCAGUACCCUGAUUGGCUGAACUGCCACCGGGAGUCCCUCCCUCCUGACCAAUACCAGCGCUACGAGCAGCAGCACAGACUCAUGGGAGAAAUCUGCCAGCAGUUUGAGGUCGAGGGUGAGCAGGGCUGCUUUGAGACCGUGCUGGAACUUAUGCAGCAGCUGCAGGAUCUUGGUCACCCUCCCAAAGAGUUAGCAGGAGAGACGCCCCCGGGCAUGAACUUUGACCUGGACUCGCUCCAUCUCCCAGGAGCCACUGCGGGUGGCGAGCAGUGCGCCAUCAUGUGACCUCCCGGACGGGCGAUAAGAUGGGGAAAGAGGGAAGAAAGGGUGACGCCCACUCUUUUCCACGAGCUCGCUCGCCCUCUCUCUCUCGGCCAGCUGGAGAUUAAACGGUUUAAAACAGACUGCCGCCCUCGUGGUGAACUUUCACAGCCACCUUCUUUUCCCAUGUCAAGUGCAGUGUUCCUCUGUUGACCACCGCUGAAUACCUCUCGAGUGAAUCCAGCCCCUGAUUUAUAGUUAGGUGGGGACAUCACUGUCUUGCAGUGCACAGCAUUGGGAAGCCAUGGCAUGUUCAUGGGAAAUGGAGUUUCCGGUUCCUAUCUGUGUGGUAGGUUUCAGCUAAACUACAAUUCCCUCCAUGCUGUGGUGUGUACCAGGAUGCUUCCCUGGUAAUCUGAGUCAAUUUACGAUCUUCCUGUAUAGGUAGAAGUGUUGAGUUUACAAUUCUACUGCAGUUGGGACUUAAGAAAGGAUACAAACGAGACGAUGGUCCUUGUAGUUGGUUAUUAAUUGAUCCAAGGAUCUCAUCCAGCUGUUUCUUAAAUGAAACAAAUUAAAUGAGACUUUUUGUGUUCAGUGCUGUCUGAGGGUGUAAUACAAGGCGAGUGGGAAAGACUCAGAGGCAUUUGAAAAAAUCAGAUACAGAAGUUAGCUGAAAGGCCACUGGUACAGCGAGACAGAGACAGCAGGGAUCCCAAUUUUAAAUGAUGCUACAGUACAUGGGUACACUUGCACUUAGAAUCCUGGGGGUUUGGGGGUUCCUGUAUUCAAGGACACUUGAGUACAGCUGGUUGC